rnacentral:rRNA from 1 species
AGAGUUUGAUCCUGGCUCAGGACGAACGCUGGCGGCGUGCUUAACACAUGCAAGUCGAACGAUGAACCUCUUUCGGGAGGGGAUUAGUGGCGAACGGGUGAGUAACACGUGGGCAAUCUGCCCUGCACUCUGGGACAAGCCCUGGAAACGGGGUCUAAUACCGGAUACGACGCACUCAGGCAUCUGAUGUGUGUGGAAAGCUCCGGCGGUGCAGGAUGAGCCCGCGGCCUAUCAGCUUGUUGGUGGGGUGAUGGCCUACCAAGGCGACGACGGGUAGCCGGCCUGAGAGGGCGACCGGCCACACUGGGACUGAGACACGGCCCAGACUCCUACGGGAGGCAGCAGUGGGGAAUAUUGCACAAUGGGCGGAAGCCUGAUGCAGCGACGCCGCGUGAGGGAUGACGGCCUUCGGGUUGUAAACCUCUUUCAGCAGGGAAGAAGCGUGAGUGACGGUACCUGCAGAAGAAGCACCGGCUAACUACGUGCCAGCAGCCGCGGUAAUACGUAGGGUGCGAGCGUUGUCCGGAAUUAUUGGGCGUAAAGAGCUCGUAGGCGGCUUGUCGCGUCGGAUGUGAAAGCCCGGGGCUUAACCCCGGGUCUGCAUUCGAUACGGGCAGGCUAGAGUUCGGUAGGGGAGAUCGGAAUUCCUGGUGUAGCGGUGAAAUGCGCAGAUAUCAGGAGGAACACCGGUGGCGAAGGCGGAUCUCUGGGCCGAUACUGACGCUGAGGAGCGAAAGCGUGGGGAGCGAACAGGAUUAGAUACCCUGGUAGUCCACGCCGUAAACGUUGGGAACUAGGUGUGGGCGACAUUCCACGUCGUCCGUGCCGCAGCUAACGCAUUAAGUCCCCGCCU